UGCAUUAUCCAAUAAGCGGAGGAAAAGAAACCAACCGGGAUUGCCUUAGUAACGGCGAGUGAAGCGGCAAAAGCUCAAAUUUGAAAUCUGGUACCUUCGGUGCCCGAGUUGUAAUUUGGAGAGGGCAACUUUGGGGCCGUUCCUUGUCUAUGUUCCUUGGAACAGGACGUCAUAGAGGGUGAGAAUCCCGUGUGGCGAGGAGUGCGGUUCUUUGUAAAGUGCCUUCGAAGAGUCGAGUUGUUUGGGAAUGCAGCUCUAAGUGGGUGGUAAAUUCCAUCUAAAGCUAAAUAUUGGCGAGAGACCGAUAGCGAACAAGUACAGUGAUGGAAAGAUGAAAAGAACUUUGAAAAGAGAGUGAAAAAGUACGUGAAAUUGUUGAAAGGGAAGGGCAUUUGAUCAGACAUGGUGUUUUGUGCCCUCUGCUCCUUGUGGGUAGGGGAAUCUCGCAUUUCACUGGGCCAGCAUCAGUUUUGGUGGCAGGAUAAAUCCAUAGGAAUGUAGCUUGCCUCGGUAAGUAUUAUAGCCUGUGGGAAUACUGCCAGCUGGGACUGAGGACUGCGACGUAAGUCAAGGAUGCUGGCAUAAUGGUUAUAUGCCGCCCGUCUUGAACCACCGGACCA
rnacentral:rRNA from 1 species